rnacentral:rRNA from 1 species
AGCAGCCGCGGUAAUUCCAGCUCCAAUAGCGUAUAUUAAAGUUGUUGCAGUUAAAAAGCUCGUAGUUGAAUUUCGGGGUUAGUAGGUUGGUCAUGCCUCUGGUAUGUACUGGUCUCACUGAUUCCUCCUUCCUGAUGAACCUUAAUGCCAUUUAUUUGGUGUUUUGGGGAAUUUGGACUGUUACUUUGAAAAAUUAGAGUGUUUAAAGCAAGCUAACGCUUGAAUACAUUAGCAUGGAAUAAUGAAAUAGGACGUUCGAUCCUAUUUUGUUGGUUUCUAGGAUUGACGUAAUGAUUAAUAGGGAUAGUUGGGGGCAUUAGUAUUCAAUUGUCAGAGGUGAAAUUCUUGGAUUUAUUGAAGACUAACUACUGCGAAAGCAUUUGCCAAGGAUGUUUUCAUUAAUCAAGAACGAAAGUUAGGGGAUCGAAGACGAUCAGAUACCGUCGUAGUCUUAACCAUAAACUAUGCCGACUAGGGAUCGGAUGAUGUUAAUUUUUAAUGACUCAUUCGGCGCCUUACA